rnacentral:sRNA from 1 species
GUGCCAGGAAGACUGGGUGCAGAAGGCCUUGGCUCCUUGAACUUUUGGCCACCAUGCGCUUCCCGAAGGUCCUCUCUGAUGACAUGAAGAAGCUGAAGGCCCGAAUGGUAAUGCUCCUCCCUACUUCUGCUCAGGGGUUGGGGGCCUGGGUCUCAGCGUGUGACAGUGAGGACACUGUGGGACACCUGGGACCCUGGAGGGACAAGGAUCCGGCCCUUUGGUGCCAACUCUGCCUCUCUUCACAGCACCAGGCCAUAGAAAGAUUUUAUGAUAAAAUGCAAAAUGCAGAAUCAGGACGUGGACAGGUGGGUGGAUUUCCCCUCAGGCACCAGGUCACAUGUCCCCGCCCCCAGGCGCUCCACCCUGUGUGGGGCUCAGGGUGAGAAGGAUGAAGAGGGACCCACAGGCUCCCUCAUCCCUUACCGUGGGCAAAUGCUUGCACCUGGGUGGCAGUGAGUCGGUGGGUGGGGGAUCUCGAUGCCCGGGGAGACUGAGGGAGGCAUCCAAGCCCCAGGGCUCCUUGAGGAAACAACAGGGGUGCCAGACGUGGCCCGGGCCCCUGGCUGGACCUAGUUCGGGG